UGGAUCCAGAGAGCUCACAGCAGAUGCCUCGGUUUUGUCUUUGCACCCCAGUGCUUAUUGUAGUACCUGGUGUAUAAAAGAUGCUUACUAAAUGAAUGUUGACUGGUUGACUGAUUCUCAGGAAAAGAGGAGGAGAGCCAAGCAAAGGUCCAGGUGGACCAGUGGCCCAUUAUGUUGUCCCCAGGCUAAAUGUGAGCUAGCCUUUGUCAUAAGGUUGGCUCCUUUUUGACCUCCAGUCAUGCCAGGCUGCUGACGGUGGAGAAUCUCCCUGGGCUCUCAAGGAAUCCAGACUGAGCAAUUUCCCAAGGGCAGAGACUGUUCACUUUUGUCUUUAGAUGGGAUGGGCGUCUUCCAUGCCUAGCACACAGCCCACUUAAUAAACGCUUAAUUGAUUGUUCUUUUCA
rnacentral:lncRNA from 1 species